rnacentral:rRNA from 1 species
UACGUAGGGGGGCUAGCGUUGUCCGGAAUCAUUGGGCGUAAAGAGCGUGUAGGCGGCCCGGUAAGUCCGCUGUGAAAGUCGGGGGCUCAACCCUCGAAUGCCGGUGGAUACUGUCGGGCUAGAGUGCGGAAGAGGCGAGUGGAAUUCCUGGUGUAGCGGUGAAAUGCGCAGAUAUCAGGAAGAACACCAGCGGCGAAGGCGGCACUCUGGGCCGGAACUGACGCUGAGGAGCGAAAGCGUGGGUAGCAAACAGG